UUAAGUUAUUAAGGGCGCACGGUGGAUGCCUUGGCACUAGAAGCCGAUGAAGGACGUUACUAACGACGAUAUGCUUUGGGGAGCUGUAAGUAAGCUUUGAUCCAGAGAUUUCCGAAUGGGGAAACCCAGCAUGAGUUAUGUCAUGUUAUCGAUAUGUGAAUACAUAGCAUAUCAGAAGGCACACCCGGAGAACUGAAACAUCUUAGUACCCGGAGGAAGAGAAAGAAAAUUCGAUUCCCUUAGUAGCGGCGAGCGAAACGGGAAGAGCCCAAACCAACAAGCUUGCUUGUUGGGGUUGUAGGACACUCUAUACGGAGUUACAAAGGACGACAUUAGACGAAUCAUCUGGAAAGAUGAAUCAAAGAAGGUAAUAAUCCUGUAGUCGAAAAUGUUGUCUCUCUUGAGUGGAUCCUGAGUACGACGGAGCACGUGAAAUUCCGUCGGAAUCUGGGAGGACCAUCUCCUAAGGCUAAAUACUCUCUAGUGACCGAUAGUGAACCAGUACCGUGAGGGAAAGGUGAAAAGCACCCCGGAAGGGGAGUGAAAUAGAACCUGAAACCGUGUGCUUACAAGUAGUCAGAGCCCGUUAAUGGGUGAUGGCGUGCCUUUUGUAGAAUGAACCGGCGAGUUACGAUUUGAUGCAAGGUUAAGCAGUAAAUGUGGAGCCGUAGCGAAAGCGAGUCUGAAUAGGGCGUUUAGUAUUUGGUCGUAGACCCGAAACCAGGUGAUCUACCCUUGGUCAGGUUGAAGUUCAGGUAACACUGAAUGGAGGACCGAACCGACUUACGUUGAAAAGUGAGCGGAUGAACUGAGGGUAGCGGAGAAAUUCCAAUCGAACCUGGAGAUAGCUGGUUCUCUCCGAAAUAGCUUUAGGGCUAGCCUCAAGUGAUGAUUAUUGGAGGUAGAGCACUGUUUGGACGAGGGGCCCCUCUCGGGUUACCGAAUUCAGACAAACUCCGAAUGCCAAUUAAUUUAACUUGGGAGUCAGAACAUGGGUGAUAAGGUCCGUGUUCGAAAGGGAAACAGCCCAGACCACCAGCUAAGGUCCCAAAAUAUAUGUUAAGUUGAAAAGGAUGUGGCGUUGCCCAGACAACUAGGAUGUUGGCUUAGAAGCAGCCAUCAUUUAAAGAGUGCGUAAUAGCUCACUAGUCGAGUGACACUGCGCCGAAAAUGUACCGGGGCUAAACAUAUUACCGAAGCUGUGGAUUGUCCUUUGGACAAUGGUAGGAGAGCGUUCUAAGGGCGUUGAAGCAUGAUCGUAAGGACAUGUGGAGCGCUUAGAAGUGAGAAUGCCGGUGUGAGUAGCGAAAGACGGGUGAGAAUCCCGUCCACCGAUUGACUAAGGUUUCCAGAGGAAGGCUCGUCCGCUCUGGGUUAGUCGGGUCCUAAGCUGAGGCCGACAGGCGUAGGCGAUGGAUAACAGGUUGAUAUUCCUGUACCACCUAUAAUCGUUUUAAUCGAUGGGGGGACGCAGUAGGAUAGGCGAAGCGUGCGAUUGGAUUGCACGUCUAAGCAGUAAGGCUGAGUAUUAGGCAAAUCCGGUACUCGUUAAGGCUGAGCUGUGAUGGGGAGAAGACAUUGUGUCUUCGAGUCGUUGAUUUCACACUGCCGAGAAAAGCCUCUAGAUAGAAAAUAGGUGCCCGUACCGCAAACCGACACAGGUAGUCAAGAUGAGAAUUCUAAGGUGAGCGAGCGAACUCUCGUUAAGGAACUCGGCAAAAUGACCCCGUAACUUCGGGAGAAGGGGUGCUCUUUAGGGUUAACGCCCAGAAGAGCCGCAGUGAAUAGGCCCAAGCGACUGUUUAUCAAAAACACAGGUCUCUGCUAAACCGUAAGGUGAUGUAUAGGGGCUGACGCCUGCCCGGUGCUGGAAGGUUAAGAGGAGUGGUUAGCUUCUGCGAAGCUACGAAUCGAAGCCCCAGUAAACGGCGGCCGUAACUAUAACGGUCCUAAGGUAGCGAAAUUCCUUGUCGGGUAAGUUCCGACCCGCACGAAAGGCGUAACGAUUUGGGCACUGUCUCAACGAGAGACUCGGUGAAAUCAUAGUACCUGUGAAGAUGCAGGUUACCCGCGACAGGACGGAAAGACCCCGUGGAGCUUUACUGUAGCCUGAUAUUGAAAUUCGGCACAGCUUGUACAGGAUAGGUAGGAGCCUUUGAAACGUGAGCGCUAGCUUACGUGGAGGCGCUGGUGGGAUACUACCCUAGCUGUGUUGGCUUUCUAACCCGCACCACUUAUCGUGGUGGGAGACAGUGUCAGGCGGGCAGUUUGACUGGGGCGGUCGCCUCCUAAAAGGUAACGGAGGCGCUCAAAGGUUCCCUCAGAAUGGUUGGAAAUCAUUCAUAGAGUGUAAAGGCAUAAGGGAGCUUGACUGCGAGACCUACAAGUCGAGCAGGGUCGAAAGACGGACUUAGUGAUCCGGUGGUUCCGCAUGGAAGGGCCAUCGCUCAACGGAUAAAAGCUACCCCGGGGAUAACAGGCUUAUCUCCCCCAAGAGUUCACAUCGACGGGGAGGUUUGGCACCUCGAUGUCGGCUCAUCGCAUCCUGGGGCUGUAGUCGGUCCCAAGGGUUGGGCUGUUCGCCCAUUAAAGCGGUACGCGAGCUGGGUUCAGAACGUCGUGAGACAGUUCGGUCCCUAUCCGUCGUGGGCGUAGGAAAUUUGAGAGGAGCUGUCCUUAGUACGAGAGGACCGGGAUGGACAUACCUCUGGUGUACCAGUUGUCGUGCCAACGGCAUAGCUGGGUAGCUAUGUGUGGACGGGAUAAGUGCUGAAAGCAUCUAAGCAUGAAGCCCCCCUCAAGAUGAGAUUUCCCAACUUCGGUUAUAAGAUCCCUCAAAGAUGAUGAGGUUAAUAGGUUCGAGGUGGAAGCAUGGUGACAUGUGGAGCUGACGAAUACUAAUCGAUCGAAGACUUAAUCAA
rnacentral:rRNA from 1 species